AAAGACACAUAAUGGUGUGACAGCUAGCCUUAAAACUCUUCUUGAUAAAAGUAAAGAGCAAAAAAUCUGACCUAAAGAAAGUUAAACUCUUGUGUCUGCUCAAACUGCCCCUGUGGGAAUAAAAACAAAGGCCACUUCACCUUGCAGCCUUUGAGUUCAAAUUCUGCGCUUUCACCUCGACAUCAUGGGUUGCAUUCCUGAUCAGGAAACCAUCCCUUCAUGGUUUAAUGUUUGUGUGACUUUUGGAGAGUACCAAUUUCUUAUUGACCCUUUUCCCUUCCUUGGAUAUCUUUUGAUUUCCUGUCUUCCAUCUGCGACGGGAGCACGAGCACAUGAGGCUCUUUGGCCAUUGUGUGUAGAUAGCUGAGAAUCUAAAACCUUAGAAAAGUUAGCGGGACAAACAUGUGGUUUUAUCUUCUAGGUGUAGAAGAAUUCCUGGAAUGCAUAGCUUGCCAUAGCUGAGGGUGGGCAGGGUUGAGUACAGCCUGCUCUCUCAGCACAACUGUGCCUGAAAUGUGAGCGGUGUGGAGAGCUGGAGACUCAGACAAAAACAGGUGAAGGAAAGGCUCUUCAAGGGGUCCAACGCACUUCCCUAGCCCCUGUUUUGUCCCACACCACAGCCCAGGUUCUUGCUGCAGAGGGAGCCCAGCUGAGCCUAGGAUCCAGGCUGCUUCUGCGAACCUGAAGUCCCCCAGGACACAGCGGGGCCUUGGGGCUUUUGAAGGAAGCAAGUGGCCAAGGGUGUGAAAGUCAUGAGAAACCCGAGCUUAACCACUGGGUGAUUGUGCACGGUCAAGAAUUUCAUCAUGAUGAGGCAUAGGAAGGAAC
rnacentral:lncRNA from 1 species